rnacentral:rRNA from 1 species
UACGUAGGUGGCAAGCGUUGUCCGGAUUUAUUGGGUUUAAAGGGUGCGUAGGCGGCCCUGUAAGUCAGUGCUGAAAUAUCCCGGCUUAACCGGGAGGGUGGCAUUGAUACUGCGGGGCUAGAGUACAGAUGAGGUAGGCGGAAUUGACGGUGUAGCGGUGAAAUGCUUAGAUAUCGUCAAGAACACCUAUAGCGAAGGCAGCUUACUAGGCUGUAACUGACGCUGAGGCACGAAAGUGUGGGGAUCAAAUAGG